UUGGUCAAUGGACGCAAGUCUGAACCAGCCAUGCCGCGUGAAGGAUGACGGUCCUCUGGAUUGUAAACUUCUUUUAUCUGGGACGAAAACGGGAUUUUUAUCUCAAUUGACGGUACCAGAGGAAUAAGCACCGGCUAACUCCGUGCCAGCAGCCGCGGUAAUACGGAGUGUGCGAGCGUUAUCCGGAUUUACCGGGUUUAAAGGGUGCGUAGGUGGGCUUAUAAGUCAGUGGUGAAAUCUCCGAGCUUAACUUGGAAACUGUCGUUGAUACGAUAAGUCAUGAAGUAUCUGGAGGUAAGCGGAAUAUGUCAUGUAGCGGUGAAAGGCUUAAAUAUGACAUAGAACACCAAUUGCGAAGGCAGCUUACUACAUAUAAAUUGACGCUGUGGCACGAAAGCUUGGGGAUCAAACA
rnacentral:rRNA from 1 species